rnacentral:tRNA from 1 species
CACGCGCCUGGCCGAUGGCUAUGCGCGGCCGGCUUUCGGCCGGUUCGCUGCAGGCCGCGCUGGCCGCGGCGGAUCCGGCGCUGCUGGCGCCUGGC